GUGGGGAAUCUUGCGCAAUGGGCGAAAGCCUGACGCAGCCAUGCCGCGUGAAUGAUGAAGGUCUUAGGAUUGUAAAAUUCUUUCACCGGGGACGAUAAUGACGGUACCCGGAGAAGAAGCCCCGGCUAACUUCGUGCCAGCAGCCGCGGUAAUACGAAGGGGGCUAGCGUUGCUCGGAAUUACUGGGCGUAAAGGGCGCGUAGGCGGACAGUUUAGUCAGAGGUGAAAGCCCAGGGCUCAACCUUGGAACUGCCUUUGAUACUGGCUGUCUUGAGUACGGGAGAGGUGAGUGGAACUCCGAGUGUAGAGGUGAAAUUCGUAGAUAUUCGGAAGAACACCAGUGGCGAAGGCGACUCACUGGCCCGUUACUGACGCUGAGGCGCGAAAGCGUGGGGAGCAAACAGGAUUAGAAACCCGGGUAGUCC
rnacentral:rRNA from 1 species